GACGUAGGGCGCGAGCGUUGUCCGGAUUUAUUGGGCGUAAAGAGCUCGUAGGCGGUUUGUCGCGUCGGGGAGUGAAAUCCACUGGCUUAACUGGUGGCUUGCUUUCGAUACGGGCAGACUGGAGGUAUGCAGGGGGAGAACGGAAUUCCUGGUGUAGCGGUGAAAUGCGCAGAUAUCAGGAGGAACACCGGUGGCGAAGGCG
rnacentral:rRNA from 1 species